GGGACAGUGGCACAAGGGGUAACGCGCCUGACUACGGAUCAGGAGAUUUCCUGGUCGAAUUCUGGCUGGCUCGACCCU